GUCACUAAGUUUUCCAGAGCUUAAUCUUAUAGGGUUAUUUUAAAGCUGCUUGGUAAGCUGGAACUUCAGGUGGGCAUCAUAAACUCAAGUCCAUACUUAAAAUGUCCAGGAGUUCCUGCUGUGGCUCAGUGGUAAUGACCCAACUAGUAUCCAUGAAGAUGCGGGUUCUAUCCCUGGCCUCACUCAGGGGGUUAAGGAUUCAGUGACAUUGCUAUGAGCUGAGGUGUAGGUCGCAGACGCAGUGUAGGUCACAGACACGGCUUGGAUCUGGCAUUGCUGUGGCUGUGGUGUAAGCUGGUAGCUGCAGUUCCAAUUCAACCCCCAGCCUGGGAACUUCCAUAUGGCGAGGGUGCAGCCCUAAAAAGCAAGCAAACAAACAAGAAUGUCCAGACUCUGGGUGUGAACAGGGUUAUCACACUGUAAAAUGCCUAUCCUAGGCUGCAACUCAGAAAAACAAAAGCUGCUUUUCAAAAAGUUGUUUUUCUCAUCACAAGGGGCAAGAAGAUGAAACUGUUAGCUAUAAGAGAAGGUCUGCCUGACCAGACCUGCAAGUUUGACGGCAAGUGGAUGCAGCCACAGCCAACUGGGGGUGGGGUGGUCAGGGCAUGGCCAGAGGCAUAAACACUACCUUCCAACCCUCUCAGCUCAACCUGCAAAAGCCAGAGGGCAAGGGAGCCGGAGCUGAUUGAGGCAGCCUGCAGAGGUCAGCUUCCCAAACAGAGCAGAGCAAGGUUGGACCCAAAGAAGGUACAGAGGCUAUCUCACACAGGUAGCAGGCUGACACAUUUAUUUAAACAGUUCUGUGGGAGUUCCUGUUGUGGCUUAGUAGGCCAAGAACCUAACUAGUAUCAGUGAGGAUGAGGGUUUGAUUCCUGGCCUCACUCAGUGGGUUAAAGAUCUGGCGUUGCUAAGAGCUGUGGUGUAGGUUGCAGACUUGGCUCAGAUUCUGAGUUGCUGUGGCUGUGGCCAAGGUCCAGCUGCAGCUCUGAUUCAACCCUAGCCUGGAAACUUCCAUAUGCUAUAGGUGUGGGAAAAAAAAAAAAAUGGAGUUCCCUUCGUGGCGCAGUGGUUAACGAAUCCGACUAGGAACCAUGAGGUUGCAGGGAUCGAACCCGAAACCUCAUGGUUCUUAGAUUUGUUAACCACUGAGCCACGACGGGAACUCCUGCUCUCUUGUUUCUUUAACUGUAAAUAUUCCAGCUAAUUUGACUGAGGCAUGAUUAAUGAUCCUUUAAACUUUCAGGUGUUAUUCAUUCCCUUGAAUCUUUGAAGUUGGCUCUUGGCAAAACUGUAAAUGAAAGGUUUGUUUUCUAGGCCCAUCUGCAUGCUUUUUAGAUCUUUUUGGUUCCCUGCUAGCAAUAGCAACUUUAGCCCCAGAGUUCUCUCACCAUGGGAGCAAUGGGCUCGCCAAUCCCAACCUGCUCUCUAAGCCUGUGCCUGCAUUCAAUGGGCAAUUAAAACUCAAUUAUACAGUUCUACUGUUUUCCUCAACAUAAAAGCAAUACAUGCUCAUGUUGUCCAACUUGAGAAUACAGAAAAGCAAAAGAAAAUAAAAAUCUGUUAUAAUCUUGUUAUUCAAAAUCAGAUGCCACUGUUCCUUGUUCCUCUCAAAAGUGUUGUUGGCACUUUUAACGCCACUCAUCUGUGCAUAGUCCCUUUCCUCCCCGACCCUGCUCUGCCUUCCAAGUUCACUCUGUGAGGCAGAGGUAAUGACUGAAUAAGUAAACACUUGAAAGUAUAUUACCUUGAGACCUUAGGCACCUGUUGAGGAAAAAAUACAUAAAUAGUACAUAAUAAAACCAAUUGGGACAUCUGAGGUUGGCUAGUUUACAGUGGAAUUCAUUGGCUCAUAGGACCUGAAUGUAUAGAGGUAGGAUGGGCUGCAGGUGUGGUUUGAUCUAGAGAUUGAAAGAGUCAAAAAGGAAAUGGUUUCUUUCUAACCCCUCUCUCUGCUUUCUCCACAAUGUUCAUCUCUUCCUAAGGUAAGUGCUUCUUGCAGUCAAAAUGGCAGCCUUAUCAGCAGUUUCUAGCACUACUUACUGCCUGGCUCCUGUCUAACAGGAUAUGAGAGCAUCUGUCUGUGACCCAUAAAUUCCUGGGAUCCCUUUUGAUUGGAUCAGCCUGGUUCCUAUGACCACCCCUGAACCAACCCUAGUGGCAAGGAAGAUGAGACAAUUAUGCAUAGUUGAGACUAGUAGGCCUCAAACUCUAGUCUCAGGACUGCUCAUAAAAAUUAAUGAGGAGCCCACAGAAUCUUUUUGAUGGAGAUUUUUAUCUAUUGAUACUUGCCAAAUUAGAAAUUAAAUUCAGGAAUUCCCAUCGUGGCGCAGCGAAAACGAAUCUGACUAGGAACUAUGAGGUUGCAGGUUUGAUCCCUGGCCUCAUUCAGUGGGUUAAGGAUCUGGUAUUGCUGCGAGCUGUGGUGUAGGCUGGCAGCUGUAGCUCCAAUUCAACCCCUAGCCUGGGAACCUCCAUAUGCCGAAAGUGCGGCCCUAAAAAAAAAAAAGCAAAAACAAAAGAAACCUCCCAACAGACAAAAGUCCAGGAGCAGACAGCUUCAUGAGUGAAUUCCACCAAACAUUUCGAGAAAGGUUAACCCUACCUUUCUCAAACUAUUCCAGAAAACAGCAGAGGAAGGAACAUGUCUGAAUACAUUCUGUGAGGCCAGUAUCACCCACCCUGAUACUAAGACCAGAUAAAGAUAGCACCCAAAAAAGAAAAUUACAGACUAACAUCACUGAUGCAAAAAUCAACAAAAUAUUAGCAAACAAAAUUCAAAUCCUACAUUAAUCCCACAUUAAAACGAUCAUACAUUAUGACUAAAUGGGACUUAUCCCAAGGAUGCAAGGAUGGUUCAGUAUCCACAAAUCAACCAAAGUGACACAGAUUAACAAACUAAAGACUGAAAUAGGAGCAUCUCAAUAGAUACAGAAUAAACUUUUGACAAAAGUCAACAUCCAUUUUUGAUGAAAAACUCUCAAUACAGGGGACCAUGCUGCAACAUAUAAAGACCAUGUAUGACAGGCCCGCAGCCAGUAUCAUACUUAAUGGCAAAAGCUGAAAGCAUUUUCUCUAAGAAGGAAGCAUUUUCUCACAGGAAGAAGACAACGAUGCCCACUCUUACCACUUUUAUUCAGCAUAGUGUUGGAAAUCAUAGCCACAGCAAUCAGACAAGAAGAAAUGAAAGAAAUCCCAAUUAGAAAAGAAGUAAAACUGUCACUGUUUUUAGAUGACAUGAUACUAUACAUAGAAAAUCCUAAAGAUGUU
rnacentral:lncRNA from 1 species